CAGCCGAGCCGCAGCUCUCCCGGCUCUGCCGGCCGCCGCUGCAGGUGAGUCUGGGGAAAAAAAGAAACCAAACAGAAAAUGAGUUUAAAAUGAAGUCACUUGAGAACAUGAUUCCACUGCGGUGUUUAAGAUACAGCUCUAGAUCAUCCACCCUCUCUCUUGGAUUUCAUUGAUGCUUUGCAGGAUGCAGACAGAACUGAAAAUUCAGCUCCCCUAUUGUGCCAAACCUACCAGAGAUCCAGAGAGCAGCUGUCAUCUUUCUUGUGGCAAGGUGACUUCUUGCUCUCAAACAAGUAGUGUCCCCUUAUUUGAGCACCUAGCCUGUGGUACUGGACCUUGUGCUGCUGUUCUAAUAAGCAAAAUAAAUAUUACUUGGUUUUCUGAAAUAAAAAUAAUGAAGAUACUUAACCUGAUAGAAUGAAUUAAAGAAAAAUGGAGACAGGGAUUUGAUACUGGGAAACAAUGAUUAUGGUCUGGUCCUUGUGGAGAGAUAUUAAUGUUUGGCUUAAUAUGCAAGUUUUAAGUAAG
rnacentral:lncRNA from 1 species